ensembl:lncRNA
CAGUGCCAGUUUGCAUAGAGCUGUAUGAUAGGGUGUGUUCUAAAUGCGCUUGUUGAACUUCUAGUUGUUUAACCCUGUUCCGGCAUGUCAGCCACAGAGUAAAUUGGACAGGGGGCAUGCAGGAUGUUACAGAUGUCACAGAGCGUAGUUGGCUUUAUUUACUGCUCUGCAAAUGAGCUGUGCCUUGUAUUUCAGUUAUUAAUCAAAUGCAAACGGCCUUCAAGAGUCUUCUCUCCCCUCCUUCAAUAGAUGGUUGUCCAGAAGUUGCUCCUCUUUAAAAACAAGUCUUUUAAAAUUCAGGUUAAGGAAGCUGAGACAGGAAUAAGAUCUCUUGUUUCUCAGAUGUACAUGAAAUAUGUAAAAAGGUGUUUGGGUACAGCUCUUACACAGAGAAAUUUUUAAAAAUAGGCUUUCCAAGCGAGGGAAGGAGGUGUCCCGCUCUGCUCUGCAAUGGUGCUACCUUACCUCGAGCACCGUGUGCAGGUUUGGGUGCAACAAUAUAAGAAGGACGUGAAACUAUGAGAGACUGUCCAAAGGAGAGUUACGAAGAUGGUGAAGAGUGGAGGAGAAGACAUACGAGGAGUGGCUGAGGUCCCUUGGUGUGCUCAGCCCAGAGCAGAGGAGGCUGUGGGGAGGCCUCAUGAUUGGCCUACAGCUCCUCUUUAGGAGAGCUGAGUUCUGCUCUCUGGUGACAGCAACGGGACCCAAGAUUGGAGGAGUUCAGGAAGUGUCCAGUAUCCAGAAAUUGACCAAAAUCCAGAUGAGAGGAAACCUCUGCUUUCAGCACAAUACCAUUGGUACCCAUAUGGAAAUGCCUUUGCCCAUUAAUCCACAACCUCCAGUGGAUCUGGAAUAUUAGCCCAGUAUUAAUGGAGAUUCCAAGUCAUACAGCAAGGCACUGCUUCCUGCAUCCAUCCUGGGCCUGUGGAUUUGCAACGACCCCUUUCGGACCAGUGAAAUGGCACGGCUGGGACUGGGGCUGCCCGAGGAAUUUCCUCCUUUCCUCCUCCAAGCUCUAUCUUGACAGCUGAGAGCAGCCAGAGCAUUCCUGCCAGCACACCCCGAACGUGCACAUCUGGAGAGUGUAAGCUCUGCUUUCCUUGUGAAACAUCCUCGGCUCAGGAAUUUACUUCUCCCAGCGGCCUAGCAGAGCCGAGGUCCACUGACCUUUGGGGCGCGAUGUAAGGCCCAUCUGUUUGCUCAGAGCUGUGCCUGAGGGUCUGGCAGUGAGGCUUAUGGUUAACUUGUCCCCUGGGAGUCUGUGCAAGAAGAAGAGUGGCCAGCACGCUGUGUCUGUUUUUUUUUUAAACAAUCUCUACGCAUGCAGGCUGUCUGCAUGUUAACAUUUGCAGGGAAAAUAAACAAAACAAUUCUACUUCACAGGCAUUUUAUAGUAAAUAGAUUGAUUGAAAGUACCCCCUCAGAUUUUUGCUGCCUGUGCUGCUAGGGUUCUUCACGCAUGGCCAAGAGUGUGAACUCUCCUCCGCUGCUCUUCUUUGGUCCCAGAAAGAAAGCGCAUCACAGCCACUUCCAUAACAACAAGCUGGGAUAGGAUGUUCAGGAUUAAACCAGCUCUGAAUCAUUAAACAGAAAGCCCUAAGUAAAACUUAAAAAACUUCAGAGUAACAAAGAAAUGCAUUUCUUCUCUCUGUUUUUUUUUUUCAGUUCAGUUAGUUAGUGCUUCUCUUAAGCAUACAAAGGAAAAUACUGCAGGCCUGGAAUCCAGCUGGGUUUCCUGUUGACUGAAAUACCUGUAGACUAAAUGGAGGGUGGCAAACAGGUACUGAUUAACUCCUGAAGGCUUUUGUCAUAGAUUUACAAUCAGGGAGGAAUCAGAAGAUGUAAAAAACCUGUUAGAAAGUCGCAAGUACCAUAGAUCCAACCUAAAAGCUCUUGCAGAGCCUCUGACUCUGCAUUGUCACCUGUUUCCACUCAAAAUCAGACAUUCUUCCAAGUUCACCUCCAUUCAUCUAUGUUCAGUGCAGCCUUUUGUUUCCUGUGCAGUAUCAUCAGGUCUGUCCUUAUGUUAUUUCUGCUUCCAUUGCCUCUACACCUGCUGCGGCCUUUCAGUGCUCGAAGAACUAUAGAGCAAGGAUCAAAAGCAAGAUUUUCUCCUUACUUGCAUAAGCUGCCCUACUAAAACAUGAGUCUCAUAAAUAAAGAAAUUGGGAAUU